UCGGGAAUUUUGGGCAAUGGGCGAAAGCCUGACCCAGCAACGCCGCGUGAGGGAUGAAGUAUUUCGGUAUGUAAACCUCGAAAGAAUGGGAAGAAUAAAUGACGGUACCAUUUAUAAGCUCCGGCUAACUACGUGCCAGCAGCCGCGGUAAUACGUAGGGAGCAAGCGUUGUUCGGAUUUACUGGGCGUAAAGGGCGCGUAGGCGGCGCGGUAAGUCACUUGUGAAAUCUCUGAGCUUAACUCAGAACGGCCAAGUGAUACUGCUGUGCGAGAGUGCGGAAGAGGCAACCGGAAGUCUUGGUGUAGCGGUGAAAUGCGUAGAUAUCAAGAGGAACACCUGAGGCGGAGGCGGGUUGCUGGGCCGACACUGACGCUGAUGCGCGAAAGCCAGGGGAGCAAACG
rnacentral:rRNA from 1 species